rnacentral:rRNA from 1 species
UUGCCUACGGGAGGCAGCAGUGAGGGAUAUUGGUCAAUGGGGGAAACCCUGAACCAGCAACGCCGCGUGAGGGAAGACGGUUUUCGGAUUGUAAACCUCUGUCCUCUGUGAAGAUAAUGACGGUAGCAGAGGAGGAAGCUCCGGCUAACUACGUGCCAGCAGCCGCGGUAAUACGUAGGGAGCGAGCGUUGUCCGGAUUUAUUGGGUGUAAAGGGUGCGUAGACGGGAAUACAAGUUGGUUGUGAAAGCCCUCGGCUUAACUGAGGAACUGCAACCAAAACUAUAUUUCUUGAGUAUCGGAGAGG